rnacentral:misc_RNA from 1 species
GUAACUGAGAUGUUAAGAGCGACUUGUCAGAGGCCUUUGGACAGGGCAAACAGUAUAAAGAAGAUGGUUGAAAAGAACGAUUAUUCUAAAGAUGAAACUGUUACGGAUUUUGGCAUUAAUGUUGUACAACAGUUAUGUGAUGUUGAUGCUCGUGUUUUGCCGUCCCCAAUGCUCAAAUAUCAUGAAACUGGCAAAGAAUCGAGAGUUGAUCCAAGG